AGAGUUUGAUCCUGGCUCAGGAUGAACGCUAGCUACAGGCUUAACACAUGCAAGUCGAGGGGAAACGACAUCGAAAGCUUGCUUCUGAUGGGCGUCGACCGGCGCACGGGUGAGUAACGCGUAUCCAACCUGCCCACCACUUGGGGAUAACCUUGCGAAAGUAAGACUAAUACCCAAUGACGUCUCUAGAAGACAUCUGAAAGAGAUUAAAGAUUUAUCGGUGAUGGAUGGGGAUGCGUCUGAUUAGCUUGUUGGCGGGGUAACGGCCCACCAAGGCUACGAUCAGUAGGGGGUUCUGAGAGGAAGGUCCCCCANAUUGGAACUGAGACACGGUCCAAACUCCUACGGGAGGCA
rnacentral:rRNA from 1 species